rnacentral:misc_RNA from 1 species
UGAAAAUCUUGUCAAGCUUCAUGGUUGUUGCAUUGAUGGUCCCUGCAGAAUUCUUGUUUAUGAGUAUAUGGAAAUGGGUAGCCUGUCUCAAAUUUUGCUCGGUGGGAGCAAAAAUAGAAGUAAAUUGAAUUGGAAAGCAAGAAGAGAUAUUUCGAUAGGGAUUGGUGAGGGGCUUGCUUAUAUUCAUGAGAAGGUUAAACCCCAUAUUGUGCAUAGAGAUAUAAAGGGCAGCAAUAUACUUUUGGAUCAGAAUUUUACUCCUAAAGUUUCAGAUUUCGGUCUCUCUAAACUAUUUUCAGACAACAUGACCCAUAUUAGUACAAGAGUCGCAGGCACAUUAGGUCAUCUUGCCCCGGAGUACGCCAUUAGCGGCCACUUAACCAGAAAAUCAGAUGUAUACAGUUUUGGAGUGCUACUCCUUGAGAUAGUCAGUGGAAGAACAGCAGUUGAUUUCGACUUAGAACUGGGAGAACACUACCUCGUGGAGAAGGCAUGGGAAAUGUACAAGGCUAACAAGCUUCUACAGCUGGUGGAUCCUAUGCUAAAUGGAAACUUCUUAGAAGCAGAAGCUGUUCGAUUUCUAAAGGUUGCCCUGCUCUGUGUGCAAGAGAAAUGUGGACUGAGACCAAACAUGUCAAAAGCUAUUAAGAUGAUGAGAGGUGAAAUCAACAUAAGCACCGUCAAAAUAGCUCAGCCAGGACUCCUCACUGAUAUUAUGAAUGUGAAAAUAGGCCAAAGACCACAAAGCUCACAAAGCAUUAAUUACCGGCAUUGCAGCCUGUACAGUUAAUUGUAAGCAAUAUUCAUGAAUAGGAUAUUAUUCAUUUUUGCUGUUGCUUUGUUUUUUUUCACUGAAUUGUUUUUUAGUUUCAAUCCUUUAGAAAACAUUGGAUUAUUAAUCGCAAAACCUUAUGAAAAUCUUUCGAUC